rnacentral:rRNA from 1 species
CCGGCGCACGGGUGAGUAACGCGUAUGCGACCUGCCCGUUGCGAGGGGGAUAAGUCGGGAGAAAUCCCGUCUAAUACCGCGUAACGCCGCGGGGCUGCAUGGCCCUGCGGCCAAAGGGAGCGAUUCCGGCAACGGAUGGGCAUGCGUGACAUUAGCUAGUUGGCGGGGCAACGGCCCACCAAGGCGACGAUGUCUAGGGGUUCUGAGAGGAAGGUCCCCCACACUGGUACUGAGACACGGACCAGACUCCUACGGAAGGCAGCAG